GGCCACAUAGUGUAGUGGUUAUCACCCGGGAUUCUGACAUACGAUUUCCCGUGACCCAGGUUCGAUCCCUGGUGCGGCCU